rnacentral:rRNA from 2 species
UGGGGGAUAUUGCACAAUGGAGGAAACUCUGAUGCAGCGACGCCGCGUGAGGGAAGAAGGUCUUCGGAUUGUAAACCUCUGUCUUCAGGGAAGAAAUUGACGGUACCUGGAGAGGAAGCCACGGCUAACUACGUGCCAGCAGCCGCGGUAAUACGUAGGUGGCAAGCGUUGUCCGGAAUUACUGGGUGUAAAGGGUGCGCAGGCGGGUCGGCAAGUUGGAUGUGAAAUGCCCUGGCUCAACUAGGGAGCUGCAUUCAAAACUGUCGGUCUUGAGUAAGGUAGAGGUAGGCGGAAUUCCCGGUGUAGCGGUGAAAUGCGUAGAGAUCGGGAGGAACACCAGUGGCGAAGGCGGCCUACUGGGCCUUUACUGACGCUGAGGCACGAAAGCAUGGGUAGCAAACAGG